CAUGCUGUAAACGUUGGGCACUAGGUGUGGGGAUCGUUGUGGUUUCUGCGCCGUAGCUAACGCAUUAAGUGUCCCGCCUGGGGAGUACGGCCGCAAGGCUAAAACUCAAAGGAAUUGACG
rnacentral:rRNA from 1 species